AUUGAACGCUGGCGGCAGGCCUAACACAUGCAAGUCGAGCGAGCGGCGGACGGGUGAGUAAUGUCUGGGAAACUGCCUGAUAGAGGGGGAUAACUCCUGGAAACGGUAGCUAAUACCGCAUACCAUCAGAUGUGCCCAGAUGGGAUUAGCUGGUAGGUGGGGUAACGGAUCACCUAGGCGACGAUCCCUAGCUGGUCUGAGAGGAGGACCAGCCACACUUGAACUGAGACACUGUCCAGACUCCUACGGGAGUCAGCAGUGGGGAAUAUUGCACAAUGGGCGAAAGCCUGAUGCAGCCAUGCCGCGGGUUUGAAGAAGGCCUUCGGGUUGUAAAGCACUUUCAGCGGGGAGGCGUUACCCGCAGAAGAAGCACCGGCUCACUCCGUGCCAGCAGCCGGGGUAAUUC
rnacentral:rRNA from 1 species